rnacentral:rRNA from 1 species
UAAGAAGUUGAGUGGCGGACGGGUGAGUAACACGUGGGUAACCUGCCUAAAAGAAGGGGAUAACACUUGGAAACAGGUGCUAAUACCGUAUAUCUCUAAGGAUCGCAUGAUCCUUAGAUGAAAGAUGGUUCUGCUAUCGCUUUUAGAUGGACCCGCGGCGUAUUAACUAGUUGGUGGGGUAACGGCCUACCAAGGUGAUGAUACGUAGCCGAACUGAGAGGUUGAUCGGCCACAUUGGGACUGAGACACGGCCCAAACUCCUACGGGAGGCAGCAGUAGGGAAUCUUCCACAAUGGACGCAAGUCUGAUGGAGCAACGCCGCGUGAGUGAAGAAGGUCUUCGGAUCGUAAAACUCUGUUGUUAGAGAAGAACACGAGUGAGAGUAACUGCUCAUUCGAUGACGGUAUCUAACCAGCAAGUCACGGCUAACUACGUGCCAGCAGCCGCGGUAAUACGUAGGUGGCAAGCGUUGUCCGGAUUUAUUGGGCGUAAAGGGAACGCAGGCGGUCUUUUAAGUCUGAUGUGAAAGCCUUCGGCUUAACCGGAGUAGUGCAUUGGAAACUGGAAGACUUGAGUGCAAGAAGAGGAGAGUGGAACUCCAUGUGUAGCGGUGAAAUGCGUAGAUAUAUGGAAGAACACCAGUGGCGAAAGCGGCUCUCUGGUCUGUAACUGACGCUGAGGUUCGAAAAGCGUGGGUAGCAAACAGGAUUAGAUACCCUGGUAGUCCACCCCGUAAACGAU